GGAAGCCUGGCAUGCUGCACUCCAUGGUGUCACAAAGAGUCAGACGCAACUGAAUGACUAAACAACAACAAAUGGCAACACUUAAGACUUCAUCUUUUCCAGCCCAGAAAGCAGCUGGCAGGAAAGGCAACCCAAGCCCAAUAUACCCAGUCAAGCACAAAGUCUUUCUUGAAGGUCUUUAGAAUAGAGAAUAUCCUCUAAGGCCCCCUGGGGAACCCUACUGAAAAAGAUGAGACAUAAAUCCUGUUUUCAGAACACUCCCCAUUUUCCCCAUUGGGCUCUAUUCUCUCAAUAUCUUAGCUCUAACCAGGGCAUAAGCAGCUUACUAAUAAACUUUCCUGGAAAACCCACAGAUUAUCAACCAAACUGAGACUGAGCUGUGCCACAGCUACAGGGCAAUAUAUUAAGCGACACCUUAUGAACUAUGCUUCCCUCUUACAUAUGAGCCAAUUUAGACCCAGGAGAUCACUGAGUUUAUAACAAGUGUAGUGAGUAGGAAGAGAAUAAAGGCCAAGAUCCAAAAGGGUGUUAGGACAGGGUGGCUGAGGUGGCUGAGGUGGCUGGAAAGUGUAAGUCAACAAAAUUAUGGGGUGAUAAUAGGUGAGAAAGAAAAGGCAAGAGAUUAAAGGAUAUUUUCAUAGUGAUUAUGCCUGAGGAAACAAAUCUCCCUUUAAGUAAGAGUCUGCAAAUGUUGUGUUAUUUUCAGUCCAAAAACAAAGAAAAUCUUUACAAUAGCUCUUAUUUAUUAUUUGCUACCACGUGACAGGUGCUAUUCCAAAAUGCAUUACAUAGUUGUCCCUCAUAUCCACAGGGGAUUAAUUCCAGGACCCCCACAGAUCCCCAAAUCUGUGGAUGCUCAAGUCCCUUGUAAAAAAUUGUAUAAUGGUGGGCCCUCAACUUCAGCGGACGUGGAACCCGCAAACAGAAGGGCCAACUGUAUGAACUUACUUAAUCCUUACAACUACCCUGGCGUGGUUGUUAUUUAUUAUCAUCCUGCCCUCUUUUCAGAGGAGGAAAGUAAGGUGCAGAGAAUUAAAGUCACACAGCUAGUGGAUGGCAGAGCCAAGAGAAAAGCUCAGAGUCAAGCUCAGAGCCACUUGCUUCACUACUCCACAUACGGCCUUUCAAAAGAGGAAUCCAGGGGCCUAUAA
rnacentral:lncRNA from 1 species